CCCCCCCCCCAGACAGGUAAUUGCUAAUGGCUCUGUUAUAGUGUGGACUUGUUAUUGAGUUGACCCAGUAAAAGUGCCCAGGAAAGUGAGAGGUGACACACAGAAGCUUCUUUCACGUCACUUGGUUUCAGUCUGGCCAUGACGGCUCUACUCUCAUCCGUGGAUCAGUCUUGUCUGUCUUGUGUGCAGACGAAGAGGAAGCUCACAGGCCAGGCUGGCUAUGUGGUUGUGCUUGAGGUUCACUAACUGUAACUCUCCCCUAUGAGCUGUAAUGAAACUGAGUCCAAAGUGCAUUUGGAUAUUUUUUUAACUCAAUUGAAAUGCUAAGUCAGAACACUUACUGCACACUGGAGUAGGUUUGAUACCAUUAUUAGAUAUAGUGUAUAGAAGAUAACAUCUACCUUUCUUAGUUGUCCCUCUCUUUCUUUCACACUCACUCACUCUUUCUCAUCUCACGGUAGAAACCCAGCUCUGAAUGCAGCCCGCUGUGGUUUUCUGCAGAGGCUCAGUGUGUCUCUUCUGUCCCAACCAGACCCUGCAGCCAGCAUCCUCCCACAAGACUGUGAGGAGAUAGAGGCUGUGUUGAAGUCCAGCCUGCCCUCUCUGUGUUGUCGUGUGUGUGAGUGGCCCUCUCUGCUGUGUGAGUCCCCAGGGCCCCAAUGUGACCCUGCCGGCCCCAGGGCCACUCAGUACUGUCUGCUCACAUUGCUGCACCUGGCCCUGCAGCAUGGAGACAGGUACUUGGGGACAUGUAGACACUGGCUCAGUUGUAUGGUUAUUAACGACACGGCAUUGCUUUGAAAGAUGUCUGUUUACUGCAGCCAGUGGUUUACUUAGCAUGAGAGGGUUAUGU
rnacentral:lncRNA from 13 species